rnacentral:rRNA from 1 species
GUUGGCGGUGCGCCUUAUGCAUGCAAGUCGAACGGGGUUACGGUCUUCGGAUUGUAACCUAGUGGCGAAUGGCUGAGUAGCACGUAAGUAACCUGCCUUGGAGUGGGAAAUAACUUGCCGAAAGGCAAGCUAAUGUCCCAUGUGGUAACGAAGCAAAUGCUUGGUUAUUAAAGCCUUAGGGUGCUCAGAGAGGGACUUGCGUCUGAUUAGCUAGUUGGUAGGGUAAUGGCCUACCAAGGCGGUGAUCGGUAGCUGGUCUGAGAGGAUGGUCAGCCAGAUGGGGACUGAGACACGGCCCCAACUCCUACGGGAGGCAGCAGCAAGGAAUCUUGGGCAAUGAGCGAAAGCUUGACCCAGCGACACCGCGUGAGGGAAGAAGGCCUUCGGGUUGUAAACCUCUUUUCUUGGGGAAGAAUUCUGACGGUACCCAAGGAAUAAGCCUCGGCUAACUACGUGCCAGCAGCCGCGGUAAUACGUAGGAGGCGAACGUUAUUCGGAUUUACUGGGCGUAAAGGGAGCGUAGGCGGUUCCUUAAGUCAGAUGUGAAAUCUUCUGAUUCAAUCAGAAGGCGUCAUUUGAUACUGAGGGACUUGAGAACAGCAGAGGGAAAUGGAAUCCCCAAUGUAGCGGUGAAAUGCGUAGAUAUUGGGGAGAACACCAGUGGCGAAGGCGAUUUUCCAGGUUGUUUCUGACGCUGAGGCUCGAAAGCGUGGGGAGCGAAGCGGAUUAGAUACCCGCGUAGUCCACGCCCUAAACGGUGGACACUAGACAUGGGAGGUAUCGACCCUUUCUGUGUCGAAGCUAACGCCUUAAGUGUCCCGCCUGGGGGAGUACGGCCGCAAGGCUAAAACUCAAAGGAAUUGA